rnacentral:snoRNA from 1 species
GCAUGUGUCUGGAUUUAUGGCAGGCCUGUCCCCCUGGGCCUCUCACAGUGACCGUGCCACAGCAGACUGGCUCCGAACCACUGCCUGGCCUCUGCCAUCAGCUGCUGGCACUGAAGCGGGUUGCACAGUG